rnacentral:rRNA from 1 species
UACAAACGCUGGCGGCGUGCCUAACACAUGCAAGUCGUACGAGAAAGGGUCCUUCGGGGCCUGAGUAAAGUGGCGCACGGGUGAGUAACGCGUGGAUAAUCUGCCCUUCAGUUGGGAAUAACUCAUCGAAAGGUGGGCUAAUACCGAAUAAUGCUGUGAGACCUCGGUUGAUCAGCCAAAGAGAGCCUCUGCUUGCAAGCCCUCGCUGAAGGAUGAGUCCGCGUACCAUUAGCUAGUUGGUAGGGUAAUAGCCUACCAAGGCGACGAUGGUUAGCUGGUCUGAGAGGAUGAUCAGCCACACUGGAACUGAAACACGGUCCAGACUCCUACGGGAGGCAGCAGUGAGGAAUCUUGCGCAAUGGGGGCAACCCUGACGCAGCAACGCCGCGUGAGUGAGGAAGGUCUUCGGAUCGUAAAGCUCUGUCGGAUGGAAAGAACCGCAUAGGGGUAAACAGCCCCUGUGUCUGACGGUACCAUCAAAGGAAGCACCGGCUAACUCCGUGCCAGCCGCCGCAGUAACAC